CCUGAAAAGAGAACACGCAUGGAAUACUACUGGGUAACAAUUUCUGAAUAUUUUUUACUUGGUCAACAAAUGUUCACUAAGCGCCUAUUCUGUGACAGGUGCUGGGGUUUAGCCAUGGACAGCGAACAAGUUCUCACCCUCAUGAAGUUUAAACUUGCCCUCUCAUUUGGGAAAGACACACUAGAAGCUUUAGGGAGCCUGCACAUUAGACGCCAGCACACUGACCUCAUGGAAGUAACUGAAGCUCAUGGAAGAGCUCAUGGAAGUAACUGAAGACAGAAAAGGUUGAGGACUGGGCUCUGGGGCCUCCCCACCCGGGGUCAUAUGUGUAAGAUCCAACCGAGGAGUUGGCAGAGGGAUGGGAGGGAGGAGAACAAGUGAAGGAAUGUUUCACAGAGGGAGAGACCAACAGCUCAGGUAAAUGAGGACUGAAAAUGACCCUUUGGAUUCAGACACUGUUGCGCUGUGUACACAACCAUGUUAUCUACAACAUACACUGUACCUUUUUAACAGUAAAAAAAAAAAUCUUUAAUGUUUAUUUUUGAGAGAGAGCAUGAGAUGGGGAGGGGCAGAGAAAGAGGGAGACACAGAAUUUGAAGCAGGUUCCAGGCUUAGCUGUCAGCACAGAGCCCGACGCAGGGCUCGAACCCACGAACUGUGAGAUCAUGACCUGAGCCAAAGUUGGAUGCUUAACCCACUGACCCACCCAGGUGCCCUACACUAGCCUUUCUAAUUUUUAUACCUUUGAUUUCUUUUUCUUGUCUUAUUAAAUUGACUGGGGCUGCUGGGACAAUACUGAAUAGAAACAUUGAGAGCAGAAAAUUUUUUGUAGCUACUAAGUAUGACAUUAGUACAGACUCUGUGUAAAUAUACCUUCAACUUGAAGACAGGUUUGCUGAAUUGUUUUUGUUUUGUUUUUGUAGUUUAUUUUGAGAGAGUGAGCAAGUCAGCAAGGGAUGGGGAGAGAACCACCACAAGCAGGCUCCACGCUCUAUCUCACAAACUAAGAUCAUGACCUGAGCUGAAAUCAAGAGUUGGAAGCUUAACCGACUGAGCCACCUAGGUGCCCAGGUUUGUGGAGUUUUUAUCAUGAACACAAAUUUUACCAGAUGCCCUUUCUACAUCUACUUAAAUGAUCUUCUGGUUUUCUGUCUUUAUUCAAUUAUGUGAAUUACACUGAUCCUCCCCCAUCCCCCACUCAGAUAUAAAGCUAGUAAUUGCAGAAAUCCUCAAGAACCUCAGCAUCCAAUGUGGGCAGUGAUGAGUGGACAGACAUCUGUGGGUUCUCUGCCAGGCUGGGUGGACUAUGGUCAUCCUCUCAGCCAGAGCUGCCUCAAGCAGAAAAAAGACCAUCACUGAAUUCUGCAUUAUUUGACUCGUAUGUAUUUAUUUACGUGUUUAGUUUUAGUGUUUAGCAUUUUCACCAAAUGCUCUAGAAAGACUGAAGGAAUGUGUAGUGAUUCUUAGGUGUAGAUCUGGGCACCAGAUACAUUCUGGGUGGAGAGAAGAAUACAGCCAUUUCUAACAGCAUCAGGAUAGUCCAUUAGGCCUUAAAAAGCUGGGUUCUGCCCACUUCCUCUCUGAACUACAACAGGUUCCUGCUUUCUAGGGGCCGGAGACUGGCAUGAGUUCAGAUCUGGAAAUUUUCGGUGAAGGAGCCCCCAUGACAGUCAUCACUGAUCUCCUCGCUCAGCUGCUGACAAAAAAAAUGAGGCAGCCAUGGAUCAAGAAAUGGCUUAGUCUGCAGACAAGAGAACAGACAGCCUUGCCCUUACGUCCCGUCAAAAUGACAGUUAAUACACUGCUUGUAAGCUCCAUACUACUUGUUUCCCUUUAUCGAGUGGUUACAGGUCUAGAAUCAAACAGUUCUAACCCUCAGUCUCUGUGAAGGUUGCCUCUGAGGGACUUAGUCAAACCAACUAAUAGAGCUGUCAGACAAUGUGGUUUUGCAAGGAUGCCCCUCUGCCCCCUUUAUCCCGCCCCAGCUCACUGCCAGUGUGAGAGUGAGGGCUCUAAAAUGGAGAGCAGGACAUCUCCCAUUUUAUGGAUGCCACAGGAGCUGCCCAGGACCCUUGUGACUAUGAGAUUGCUAAUGGUGGAGUGUGGAUCAUGUCACAGCGGGGAGGGCCUUAAUUCUGGUGUUAGCUUUGCUUUCUUGAUAAUAUAAAGGAGAUAAAAGGAUGCGAAGAGAGGGUGCUAGAGAAGGAGUCCAGUUCUGCCUCACCCUGUGAAACUAUGCUCAUCACUGCAGGCCUCAGUUUCCCUGUCUGUGAAUGCCAGACUGGACUGGAUGGACCCUUUCACAGCCUGACAUUGGUGUGCUCACCAAAAUGCUUAAAAAACUUGACCGGAGGGGCAUCUGGGUGGCUCAGUCAAGUGUCUGACUUCGGCUCAGGUCAUGAUCUCACGGUUCGUGAGUUUAAGCCCUGCAUCGGGCUCUGCUUUGGCAUUGUAGAGCCUGCUUGGGAUACUCUCUCCCUCUCUCCCCUCCUCAGAUUGCACAUGCACUCUCUCUCUCACAAAAUAAACUUUAAAAAAAAAAAAAAAAAAAAGAACUUGACUGGAGUGCACUGGAGAAAAUCAGAAAAGUGAAACAAGAGAAUACAUUAAAACAGCUACUUUGAGAAAUUUUACUAGAAAAGAAAAGAAGCAGAGUGCUAGAGGGGGAAACAAAAAAAAGAAAGUUUUAAGAUAAAAAACAUACUACUCUGUCCUGUGCCGAUGAGGAUCUACCAGAGAUGGAAAAUGGAUAGUGCAGGAGAGAGAAGUCGGGACUCAUGGCACAAAGGGCAGGGGGGUUCUGACAGGAGCAAGGACGACAGAUUGCUCGCGGUGCCACGGGAGAGGAGGUAGAGCUUACAGGUGCAGACAGCUGCGUAUGGCAAUUAUCUAGUGAUUGCUUCUAUUUUCUUGGUCAGACAGGUAGCCAGAUCAUUGUACCAGAGAGCAAAUGAGAGAAGGAGAUGCCGCCAGUUUGAGGAGAAGGUAUGAAUCUACCUAAUUGUCCAAGAGGACGGGGAACGAAAGGCAGUGCACACAACACCCCACGCUUCAAUACUGACCGAGUUGCAGGCAUUUGCUCUUUCUAUUUUAGAAAGACCCUUCAAUUCGGUAUCAAAUACAUUCAUCUUCUCUACUAGGCAAGUGAGAGCAGUCUCUGUAGCUUCCCCAACUUUUUCAUACACGCCCUUCGCCUGUAUUGGUUAAAAGCAUAAAGUGAAAAAGCAGUGAAUAAGUUUUUCAUCAAUAAAGACUUCCCAUCAGA